GGCUCUAUAGCUCAGUUGGUAGAGCAACUGACUUGUAAUUAGUAGGUCGUUGACGGUCCGCCGCUGCGGUUAGAUCCCGACUGGGGCCU
rnacentral:tRNA from 1 species